rnacentral:rRNA from 1 species
AGCGAACGCUGGCGGCAGGCUUAACACAUGCAAGUCGAGCGGACAACCGUGGCUUGUCCGCGGCAGACGGGGGAGUAACGCGUGGGAACGUUCCCUUCGGUUCUGAAUGACGCGGGUAAAGUUGGGAUAAUAGCGGUUACGUGCGAUAGCAGAAAGGUGUAUCUGCCGGAGGAUCUGCCCGCGUCUGCUUCGAUAGUUGGUGAGGUUAUGGCUGACAAAGGCUAGGAUAAGUAGCUGGUCUGAGAGGAUGAUCAGACACUCUGGGACUGAGCAACGGUCCGGACUCUUAGGGGAUGCAGCAGUGGGGAAUAUUGGACAGUGGGGGCAACCAUGAUGCACCCAUGCCGCGUGAGUGAUGAAGGCCUUAGGGUUGUAAAGCACUUUUAUACGGGACUAUAAUGACGUUACCGGAGGAAUAAGCCCCGGCUAACUUCGUG